rnacentral:rRNA from 1 species
GUUUCCGUAGGUGAACCUGCGGAAGAAUCAUUA